UAAAAAUUUUAUUUCAGUUUUAAAGUUGAUUACCUAAUUCGUUUAUAUAUAAUAUUUUUAGUAAAUAAAAUAAAUUUUAAAUAAAUUUAUUUUACUCAAAUUUAAUACUCAAAUUUACUUAAAAAAUGAAAGUUUUGAUAGAAAUUUAAAUUAAAUAAGGAUAAAUUUAGUGCCAGCAAUUGCGGUUAUACUAAACUUAUAAGUUAACUUAAUUCAAUUUUAAAAUUAAUAGCCAACAGAACAUGCUUAUUUAAAUAUGAAAUUCUUUGGUGAAAUAUGAAUUUCAUAAAAAGAUAAGUUUCUCUUAUAUAGCCAUAAAUUUUGAAAAUUUUGAUAAUAAACUAGGAUUAGAUACCCUAUUAUAAAAUUUAAAAUAUAAAAUUAAUUAUUAAAUGUAGAAUCAUUAAAAUAAUAAAAUAUGGCGGUUUUAUAUAUUCUGUUUAGAGGAACCUGUAUAUUAAAUCGAUAUUCCACGAUAAGAACUACUUAGAUUAAAUUUGUAUAUCGUUGUUUAUAUAUUAUUUAUAGAAUAAAUAAUACAAAUAUUUAAUUUAGAAUAAUAAUUCAAAUCAAGAUACAGUAUAUCUAAGGUUGUAUGGGUUACAGAAAAUUAAAUUUAUGAAUUUUGGUUUUUAAUAGCCAAAUGAGAUAGGAUUUAAAAGUAAAAUAAAUUAAAUUUAUUUAUUUGAAGACAGCUCUAUAAAAUGUACAAAUUGCCCGUCACUAUCAAUUAAUUUGGUAAAAGUCGUAACAUAGUAAAAGUACUGGAAAGUGUUUUUAGAUUAAA
rnacentral:ncRNA from 1 species